rnacentral:rRNA from 1 species
UACGAAGGGGGCUAGCGUUGUUCGGAAUUACUGGGCGUAAAGCGCACGUAGGCGGUUCGAUCAGUCAGGGGUGAAAUCCCAGGGCUCAACUCUGGAACUGCCUUUGAUACUGUCGAUCUGGAGUAUGGAAGAGGUGAGUGGAAUUCCGAGUGUAGAGGUGAAAUUCGUAGAUAUUCGGAGGAACACCAGUGGCGAAGGCGGCUCACUGGUCCAUUACUGACGCCGAGGUGCGAAAGCGUGGGGAGCAAACAGG